UACAGAGGGGGCAAGCGUUAUUCGGAAUUAUUGGGCGUAAAGGGCGCGUAGGCGGCCUGUCAAGUCUCUCGUGAAAUCCCUCGGCUUAACUGAGGACGUGCGGGAGAUACUGUCAGGCUGGAGUCCGGAAGAGUGUGGUGGAAUUCCCAGUGUAGCGGUGAAAUGCGUAGAUAUUGGGAGGAACACCGGUGGCGAAGGCGGCCACCUGGGCCGGAACUGACACUGAGGCACGAAAGCGUGGGGAGCAAACAGG
rnacentral:rRNA from 1 species